rnacentral:rRNA from 1 species
AGGAAAGAUCGAGUGAAAGCACUUUGGAGAAUUAAAAAGUACGUGAAAGAAGCUAGAAAGGGAAGCGCUUGCAACCAGACUUGUCCGCAGUUGCUCAGCCGGUCUCCUGACCGGCGUACUCUUCUGCGGCCAGGCCAGCAUCAGUUCGGGCGGUCGGAUAAAGGCCUCGGGAAUGUAGCUCCUCUCGGGGAGUGUUAUAGCCCGGGGUGGAAUGCGGCCAGCCUGGACUGAGGAACUCGCUUCGGCAAGGAUGCUGGCGUAAUGGUUGUAAGCGGCCCGUCUUGAAACACGGACCAAA